rnacentral:rRNA from 1 species
UACGAAGGGGGCUAGCGUUGUUCGGAAUUACUGGGCGUAAAGCGAACGUGGGCGGUGUUCCAUGUCAGAGGUGAAAGCCUGGGGCUCAACUCCAGAAUUGCCUUUGAAACGGGGACGCUUGAGUCCGAGAGAGGAUGGCGGAAUUCCUAGUGUAGAGGUGAAAUUCGUAGAUAUUAGGAAGAACACCGGUGGCGAAGGCGGCCAUCUGGCUCGGUACUGACGCUCAGGUUCGAAAGCGUGGGGAGCAAACAGG